AGCACUACUAAACAGGAAUGCACACACCUAAAUGAGAGAGCCACACAGGAUGGGACUCCAUGUGUAUAUCCUGUGUUUUUUGAUGAACACGGAUAUUCAGGCAGUAAAGUCAACUUUUCUGUGUACACAUCAAAAGUGGACAGUUGGUGUCGUUUGGGCAGAACAAGAGUGACACUGGACACUGGAAGUAGAAAGUGGACAUGUCGCUGCAAAGGCACAAAGAGAAGAAUGUGUGUCCACAUUUAUCUCUCUGUGUUGGACCUUCCAGGAAAGACGACACCUCCUACGUGACAGUGACAGGGACGUGGACUUCAGUAGUGACACUAACAACGAUCUGUACAGUGAAGAUAUGGAGCCAUGCCAUUUUGAAAGUGAAAAUCAAAUUGGUUCAGAACAGAUUAAAAAAAAUUGUAGAGUAGUUGUGCAACUGCAAAAGACUGCCUCCCAAACUACCAGCGGAGUUGCAAAAUAACGCAGCAAACAUCCCACAGAAGUUCUCACCUGAGGAAACCAAGUGCCCGUACUGUCCAGGUCCUACACCACCAGACUUGUCCGAGGAGAAAUGUGUCACGAAAAACGCAACAGUUUAUGGCAUUCUUACUGUUCAAAAAGGUGUCCAUGUCUACAUCAAAACGUGCCCUGUCUGCAGAACACCUGUCAGAUUUCAGAAUUACUUGACAGGCUUCUACAAUUACAAUAACAAAGUGUUUCUGACCCUUCAGUUAUGCUCUUUCAUGACAAAUUUACUGAGGACCCACACAGCUAUUGGAAGAUUCAUCAGUGCUAUGGAGCAUCAGCUGAAUUUGACAAUCCACCACAACACCAUCCGGAGGGCAUUUUUUCACUACUCUGCACUUACUGCUUAUGAGUAUGAUUUCUUUUGCUACAAAUGUGGCCACCAUCCCCCAGUGCUAAUAGCAGAUGCCAACUGGAAGCUGUCUUUUGAUGUGCCAGUGAGCACACUGAAGAGGCCAGCUAUCAAAGAAGUCAAGGAUGAAGAUCUUUCAGUCAACAUCACUGCAAAGUGGGACCGACUGGAAAAAGAAAUUAUAGCCAGUGGCAUCUGUGAAGAGUUGAAAGCCCACAACCCGUAUUCAGCGGAGUUGACACACUCCUCUUUUGUGCCGUGGAUGGGACCAGCUACUAGAGUUGGGGAUGUGCUACCGAAGACUGAGAUCCUGAAAGGUUUCAAUAGUAAGGCAACAACAGACCCCAAAACGCAAAAAGAUCGACGCUUCAAUGAGGAUGAGCUUCUUCGGUUGAUUGAAUCAAAGAAGGCAAGCAAGAGUGAGCUAAUUAAAGCUUGCUCUGAGCUGGGUGUUCCCACUGAGGGAUCUGAGACUGAUUUGAUCAACUGACUUGAGGAGAUGCUCCUCUACAAGGAUGUUUACCCAAAAAUGUUCGCUAAGCUGCAGAAAACAGGGGGUGGUGUACUGCACACGGGCUGCUCUCACUCAGUUGUUUAUUACUGCUCCCCACUUCUGUGGCAGGAAAGUGCGAGGGACCACGCAGAUGGUCUGUUAAGCUUUGCAAAACCACCAACCAUUUACAUUUCUGACAUUGCUGGUCGUGUUGCAAGACACACCAACAACAGGACAAAGCAGAGAUUUUUUUAAUCCAAAUGAUGGAAGACUUUGCUCGCCUACAAGUGAAAACAUACAGGCAGCACAAGAUAAAAGUCUUAAAGUAAAUCUUCCUUGGAUGAAAAAUCUUUUGUACAGGAGGAAUAACACGAACCCCCGAAAUGAUGUAAAUCCUAAAGAACAUUUGCAAAGGCCACAUCCCAUCACAGGCUCUGCUGAGCGGUACUCAAACAAAGCCGGAGGAAGUACUCCGCAGCCUCAACCUUGUCCCUGAUUUGUGCAGUUUUGUCAAUUCCUCAGAGGCAGAACAAAACAGAGAGCUGUCCUUUGACCGGUACUUCCUCUGCCAAAUGAAGGAGACACAUUUCUUGUUUUGUACAAGGUUGGUCUUCCAUUUGCACAACAACAACAACAUAAAUCAAAAAUUCAUCAAAAAAAUGGGAGACACAAACCAAGGACAAUCUUGAAAUUGGGCCAGAUGGACGGUUGAGGCUUACAAGUACAGUGGUGUCUGCCCCAGGAGGAAAUGUGGAUGUUGAAAUGCACGAUGAGCAAAUUGUGGCCAAAAUGAGCUUCUCAAUAGGGCAGUUCCUAAUCCAGGAAGAGCACAAGGCAAAACUGCUUGAGCUCUACAAGGCACCAGCAACGGACUAUGCCAUUGUUCAGGUGGAACGGGCAUUAGUUUAUGUGGCUGACCUUUUUAAGUAUUUGCCCACAAUCUCUCCUAGAGGAUGACCUCUACACCUCGUAUCCAUGGCUUACAGAUGAUGCAGUGAAUGUGAGAGUUCUCCAGCUGACAAAACCUCUGGAGAAUCUUGGUGGAGGAGCUGGAUCAAUGGGGAAUCAAUCAGCUCCCGCCAUUUGCAUUGCAUCCAGGGCUUAAAGCAAGACUCAAAGGUUCUGUUUCCACGAGUCGUUGGCCAUCAAACUCCAGAGACUGGCAAUAAUUUCAUUCUGUGGGUAUUUGAUGGCUCAAAAAAAGAAAUCAGGGUCUACGAUUCCCUUGAAAAGUACACCUUGAUUUCUCCACCUGAUAUGGACAUUCUAAGCCUUGCAUUUCAGAACAUAUGGAGGCUGAAGGAAUGGUCCAUUUCAUAUCCAGACCAGUGGAGACAGAGAGAUGGCGUCAACUGUGGUGUCUUCGUCUGCACGCUGAGCUUGAUAUCAAAGGGACAGACAUGAUGAAUGAACCCUUGAACCAAGUCCAGUUGGGGCAUCUCAGGAUGUAUCAUGCAGCCUGCUUGAUUGCCGAUUCUGUUCCUAAGGGGAAGAAAGUGCGUGAGCAUGGCAGAGGCAAAUCAUGCCUGCAAUUACUACGACAGCCCUGGAAAAGGGCAGUCAAGGCAGUUGUAUCCACAUGUGCAGGAGGAGGACUGGGUGAAAUGCGAGACAUGCAAUGGCUGGCUGCACAAAGACUGUGCCUGUUAUGAGCCCAGUCAGUCAGGCAUUUUCACAUGUGGUUGUGACCUGCCUGAGCCAUACGCCUUCACCAGUACUUUGACCUGCCUCAAGAACAAAGGCGUUGAGGGCCUCAUUUCCAAAGGAAGAAUAAAGGAACUGGAAGAAAUGCUCGACAGUGGGGAGAGGAAAUCCAACAGGAUGUUCCUUUGGCAAAACCCUGGGGAAACCGUGCCCUGAAAACAAUUCUUAACGGAAAGCCAACAUGUUUCAAUGAGAAACACAUGAAUGACCUCAUUAAUCUGAUAAAGCCAACGCUGUCAUUGGAUUACAGCCUCCUCAAAAACAUUGAUUUUGUCAUUGAUGUCAUGGUGCCAGAGACCACAAUUGACAUCCUGGUGAGACUAGAAGGUUUUUCAAGAUUUUAUGCCGAGAAAAUCCUCGGAACGAUCGAGUGAUCAGGUGCUGGAUCAAUCAAGAUUCGACUGUUACUUUUGUUACUGUACUGUGGGCUACUUGUGUUGAAUUUUUAAUUAAACUUUUACAUUUUUGUAUUUCCAUUUGAUG